rnacentral:rRNA from 1 species
AGAGUUUGAUCAUGGCUCAGAUUGAACGCUGGCGGCAGGCUUAACACAUGCAAGUCGAACGGUAACAGGGAGAAGCUUGCUUCUUUGCUGACGAGUGGCGGACGGGUGAGUAAUGCUUGGGAAUCUGGCUUAUGGAGGGGGAUAACUACGGGAAACUGUAGCUAAUACCGCGUAAUAUCUUCGGAUUAAAGGGUGGGACUUUCGGGCCACCUGCCAUAAGAUGAGCCCAAGUGGGAUUAGGUAGUUGGUGGGGUAAAGGCCUACCAAGCCGACGAUCUCUAGCUGGUCUGAGAGGAUGACCAGCCACACUGGAACUGAGACACGGUCCAGACUCCUACGGGAGGCAGCAGUGGGGAAUAUUGCACAAUGGGGGGAACCCUGAUGCAGCCAUGCCGCGUGAAUGAAGAAGGCCUUCGGGUUGUAAAGUUCUUUCGGUGAUGAGGAAGGUGUUUGUUUUAAUAGAACAAGCAAUUGACGUUAGUCACAGAAGAAGCACCGGCUAACUCCGUGCCAGCAGCCGCGGUAAUACGGAGGGUGCGAGCGUUAAUCGGAAUGACUGGGCGUAAAGGGCACGCAGGCGGUGACUUAAGUGAGAUGUGAAAGCCCCGAGCUUAACUUGGGAAUUGCAUUUCAUACUGGGUCGCUAGAGUAUUUUAGGGAGGGGUAGAAUUCCACGUGUAGCGGUGAAAUGCGUAGAGAUGUGGAGGAAUACCGAAGGCGAAGGCAGCCCCUUGGGAAUAUACUGACGCUCAUGUGCGAAAGCGUGGGGAGCAAACGGGAUUAGAUACCCUGGUAGUCCACGCUGUAAACGCUGUCGAUUUGGGGAUUGGGCUUAGAGCUUGGUGCCCGUAGCUAACGUGAUAAA